rnacentral:rRNA from 1 species
AUUGAACGCUGGCGGCAGGCCUAACACAUGCAAGUCGAGCGAGUGGCGGACGGGUGAGUAAUGUAUGGGGACUGCCCGAUAGAGGGGGAUAACUACUGGAAACGGUAGCUAAUACCGCAUACUAUCGGAUAACCCAUAUGGGAUUAGCUAGUAGGUGAGGUAAUGGCUCACCUAGGCGACGAACCCUAGCUGGUCUGAGAGGAUGAGCAGCCACACUGGGACUGAGAAACUGCCCAGACUCCUACGGAGGCAGCAGUGGGGAAUAUUGCACAAUGGGCGCAAGCCUGAUGCAGCCAUGCCGCGUGUAUGAAGAAGGCCCUAGGGUUGUAAAGUACUUUCAGUCGGGAGGCGUUACCGACAGAAGAAGCACCGGCUAACUCCGUGCCAGCAGCCGCGGUAAUUC